UACGGGGGGAGCAAGCGUUGUUCGGAUUUACUGGGCGUAAAGGGCGCGUAGGCGGCCAGCACAAGUCAGUUGUGAAAUCUCCGGGCUUAACCCGGAAAGGUCAACCGAUACUGCAGGGCUAGAGUGCAGAAGGGGCAACUGGAAUUCUCGGUGUAGCGGUGAAAUGCGUAGAUAUCGAGAGGAACACCUGCGGCGAAGGCGGGUUGCUGGGCUGACACUGACGCUGAUGCGCGAAAGCUAGGGGAGCGAACGGG
rnacentral:rRNA from 1 species